AAGGCUUUGAAUUUCGUAUUCAACAUGCACUUAACAUUCGAACUGGGUGCGUGUUAUGCUUUGAGAAGAGCCGAGAAAGAUGUUCUCCUAGCUAUCUAAUGCCACGAUUUCUGUGUGGUAUUUGGACGUCGGAGAACUAAAUCC